rnacentral:lncRNA from 1 species
UUUCUUUUAAACAUGCAAACCGGAUUAACCCAAUUAAUUCGAACCAGCUAAACCGGCCAUAAUAAUUUAAAUCAAUUAAACCAAGCAAUCUCAUUAAAGUAAACCAACAAUAUUAUCCAGCGGAAGACUUAACCAAAAAUCCAAUAAUACGAUUCCAUUAAACCAACAAGUUCAACCAAACAUUAUUCCAAAACAUGAUCCUCCUAACAUGUUUCUAAAUUCCAUUCUAACACCCUAACAAAUCCAACAAUAAUCUAAAACACCAAUGAGUGCCUAGAUCAUCCUCCUCUCCUCGCCAUGAUUCCACGGAUCACACUUUGCUUUUACCUGCAUCAAAGAAAGAGAUGCAUAAGUAUUUCAUAAAUACUUAGUGAGGGCGAUCCUCCCAUCUACGAGCUAUACACACAAGCAAUGAGAUAACACCCACAUAUAUAACAAAAACAAACCAUCCAGCAAGCUAAACAUCCAAUAACACAUCCAGUUCACCUACAAAUCAUCACACAACAAGUCACUCAAUCCCAAUCGCUUAGAUAAGCUCAUGGUCACGCACUCACCUUAACAAGGUGAUUUGAGUUACAAAAACAACCAGGAAAUACUCUCUUCGUGACUGCAACAGCCAAACAACGCCCUACAACAAACCACACAAACACAAAUCUCUAAGAACCAAAAGGACAGAAACAUCAAAAAAACUACAGCCGCAGAAACGAAGCCCUAAAACAUAAACUAACCGUUAACUUCUUAAUCCCUACGGUGAAAAGCAAGAUACAGACGUCACGAAGCCCCCUACAAAAUUUGGUGCCGAUCGGAGAAACGAUGAAUCCACGAUCGCACUUACAAACUCCGCUGAUCCCAGUUCGCAACAGAGAAAACGCGUCUCACCAAACUGCAUAUAACUCACUGAGUAUUAAUCCAAAUUCACUUCUGUAAAAAGGAGAAUCAACGUACACGCCUUAAGAACAAACCUACCAAAAUUCAUUACCNNNNNNNNNNNNNNNNNNNNNNNNNNNNNNNNNNNNNNNNNNNNNNNNNNNNNNNNNNNNNNNNNNNNNNNNNNNNNNNNNNNNNNNNNNNNNNNNNNNNUUCGAUAAGAUUUGAUACGUCGUAACUCUAUUCUACCAGAACGUGACGGAUCUGCUUCUCUUGCCUUAAACACCAAAGCAAAGCUAACACUCUCCUUUUCACAAGUAAACUUCUCAUUUUCCUUUUCUCAACUCAACUCUCAGAAACAACAGCCACAAAACAAGAGAGAGAAGAAGCAUUCUUUAUAAAACUAGGGUUUUUGGUUUAAUUCUGAUUAAACCAGAAUUUACCUAAACCGACUUUAAUUAAACCUCUUUUGGUUCAAUUAAACAAAUCGACCAGUUUAGGAAAUCAACCGGAAUUAAACCGAUUCCACCCUAAUUCUUAUACACAUUCAAGUCUCAUAUUAAUUUUCAGAACACGGGCGUUACAAUUCUCCCCCACUAACAUGGAUUCGUCCUCGAAUCCUUCAACACCGUCCACCAGUUGGACUCCGUGCAACCGUCCCAAACGAUCUGCACUCCCACAACUGACUCCUCUGAGGCUCCUAUCUAAUCCAUAUACUCACGUUCCAGACCCUAUUUGCUCAUACUCACCCACUUCCCCCGUCCACAGGUCGCAACCCAUGAAUCAUACCGGCUCGUCCUCAGGCCUCUGCCUUAGACUACGGUAUCCAGGAAGUCUCACCACUCCCCCCGCUAUCAGGUCGCAACCCUCAAGUCAUACCGGCUCACUAUUAGGCCACCCGCCUUCUAGCUACGGUAUCCGGGAAGUCUCACGCUCGCUCUCGGGUCGUCACCCUCAAAUGUGCACUCGAAUCGUCAUCCGAAGCCAUCACAUCAUAUCCGAGCAAAUAAGUCUAAACGCCCCCGAGCAUAUCUCUCGAUUAGAUAUACCUCCCGUGGUCCACUUAUAGCAUCGCAAUGCUAUACUAACCACCACCCCGAGACUUUCCAAAAAUAGAACCGUCAAACCCGACACUUUCUAUUUUUAGAAACUCGCACAUAUUUCUCUUACACAUGACACAACAAGUCAAAUCAAGAAAUACUCACAUAGUCCAAGUACAACAUCACAAUGUCAUACCUACCAAACAAUAUUCCCACCUGGAAUAUCAUCUCUACCAUGACCAUUCUUCAAGUCAACUCCCAAACAAUCCCGUCACUCAGAGUAUUACAUAAUAGUCUCCAACUUAACUUCUCGGAAAUCCAUUUCCAACAAAACACCACCGAAGACCCGCGCUCCAGACUACAACCACCACAACCACAUAACUACUUCGAGCACCACGCUCGCAACCUCUAGCCUCCCACACUGCCACGAGCAGAAACUAGGAAAACAGAUGACUAGAGAAAAGAUAAAACAUCACAACUUACCGUGGAAUCUCAUUGAAGGCUCGAGAGGAUGAUCUAGGUCUCCAUGCUCACACAACUGAUUAAACACACAAAUCAAUCAGCAUGCAAUCCACAUCAUCAUUUUCCAUCAACGAAAUUCACACAUCACAUAAAAAAUAACCAAUUUACUCCCGCCCUAGAACCGUAAGGGCUCUGAUACCAAAUUGAAAGAACCCAUCCCAUUUUUUUUUCUUUUAAACAUGCAAACCGGAUUAACCCAAUUAAUUCGAACCAGCUAAACCGGCCAUAAUAAUUUAAAUCAAUUAAACCAAGCAAUCUCAUUAAAGUAAACCAACAAUAUUAUCCAGCGGAAGACUUAACCAAAAAUCCAAUAAUACGAUUCCAUUAAACCAACAAGUUCAACCAAACAUUAUUCCAAAACAUGAUCCUCCUAACAUGUUUCUAAAUUCCAUUCUAACACCCUAAUAAAUCCAACAAUAAUCUAAAACACCAAUGAGUGCCUAGAUCAUCCUCCUCUCCUCGCCAUGAUUCCACGGAUCACACUUUGCUUUUACCUGCAUCAAAGAAAGAGAUGCAUAAGUAUUUCAUAAAUACUUAGUGAGGGCGAUCCUACCAUCUACGAGCUAUACACACAAGCAAUGAGAUAACACCCACAUAUAUAACAAAAACAAACCAUCCAGCAAGCUAAACAUCCAAUAACACAUCCAGUUCACCUACAAAUCAUCACACAACAAGUCACUCAAUCCCAAUCGCUUAGAUAAGCUCAUGGUCACGCACUCACCUUAACAAGGUGAUUUGAGUUACAAAAACAACCAGGAAAUACUCUCUUCGUGACUGCAACAGCCAAACAACGCCCUACAACAAACCACACAAACACAAAUCUCUAAGAACCAAAAGGACAGAAACAUCAAAAAAACUACAGCCGCAGAAACGAAGCCCUAAAACAUAAACUAACCGUUAACUUCUUAAUCCCUACGGUGAAAAGCAAGAUACAGACGUCACGAAGCCCCCUACAAAAUUUGGUGCCGAUCGGAGAAACGAUGAAUCCACGAUCGCACUUACAAACUCCGCUGAUCCCAGUUCGCAACAGAGAAAACGCGUCUCACCAAACUGCAUAUAACUCACUGAGUAUUAAUCCAAAUUCACUUCUGUAAAAAGGAGAAUCAACGUACACGCCUUAAGAACAAACCUACCAAAAUUAAUUACCUUUCGAUAAGAUUUGAUACGUCGUAAAUCUAUUCUACCAGAACGUGACGGAUCUGCUUCUCUUGCCUUAAACACCAAAGCAAAGCUAACACUCUCCUUUUCACAAGUAAACUUCUCCUUUUCAUUUUCUCAACUCAACUCUCAGAAACAACAGCCACAAAACAAGAGAGAGAAGAAGCGUUCUUUAUAAAACUAGGGUUUUUGGUUUAAUUCUGAUUAAACCAGAAUUUACCUAAACCGACUUUAAU